rnacentral:rRNA from 1 species
GCGCGAAAACUUUACAAUGCGGGAAACCGUGAUAAGGGAACCCCGAGUGCCUGUAACCACAGGCUGUUCAGGUGUUUACAACGCAUCUGGAGAAAGGGCCGGGCAAGACCGGUGCCAGCCGCCGCGGUAAUACCGGCGGCUCGAGUGGUGGCCACUAUUACUGGGCUUAAAGCGUCCGUAGCCGGGUUGUUAAGUCUUUUGGGAAAUCCAGCGGCUCAACCGUUGGGCGUUCAAGGGAUACUGGCAAUCUAGGGACCGGGGGAGGUGAGAGGUACUCUAGGGGUAGGAGUGAAAUCCUGUAAUCCUUUGGGGACCACCUGUGGCGAAGGCGUCUCACCAGAACGGCUCCGACGGUGAGGGACGAAAGCUGGGGGAGCAAACCGGAUUAGAUACCCGGGUAGUCCCAGCUGUAAACGAUGCGCGUUAGGUGUAUCGGUGACUACGAGUUACCGACGUGCCGAAGAGAAAUCGUGAAACGUGCCGCCUGGGAAGUACGGUCGCAAGGCUGAAACUUAAAGGAAUUGGCGGGGGAGCACCACAACAGGUGGAGCCUGCGGUUUAAUCGGACUCG